CCGGCUACCCGGCGGCGUCGGGAGCAUAUGGGAUCCGCGAGACACCUCCAUCAGGCGGCGGCGGCGGGACAUGGACAAAUCCUCCACCUCCCCCGCCUAACGCUUUGGCUUCGCCGCCGCCCGCUUAUCCCCAAGUCCCCAUGCCCAGGGCUGCAGGUUUGAAGCUGAAGAGGCCAGGUUGAGACUUCUACCAGUUUGUGUUAAACCCUAGCUUCAGCACCAGCGCGGCUAGAGAAGGUAGGGUCCCCGAAGGUGCAUAGAAUUAUCUAUUGAUACAGAAAGCAAUGAAGGAUACAGCCAACUUCUCAAGAAUAGAGAAACUGCAAACUGCAAUGCAGGAUACAGCCAGCUCCGCUGCUGCCUUCUUCAACCAAGUGCUUGUUCCCAGAACAUCAGGCAUUGAUAGUCACUUCCACUGUUCCACACCCACCGUGCCGCCUGCCAUGCUGCCA